CUCUGAGAGAGAAGUUGGAAGAUGUCAGUUCUGUGUCAAGUUGCUGAAGGAAGAAUAAGAUUCUGAAAGAAGCUGACAUGAGAGGAGAUGCAAGAAAUGAUACUUCCAUGGUCACAAAGAUAACACCGCACAAGUAGUCCUCAUCAGAAAACCGAUUCAAACCCAUGUUGUCAGACUCCAUAAUCAGGACUCUUUCUACCAUAUGACACUUCAUUGAGGAGGUCUUUGCUUUGUAGGAAAGAUGGGCAGCGAUCUGUCACAUAGGUUGACUUUGAGAUAAGCAUUGCCGGUGGAUUCUGAGAACAAAAGCAUUCUGCUGUUUUCUAUCAAUUAUUGCGAACUCUCAAAAGGUAUGGUGUUCUGCUGAUAUUUAUAUGCUCAUGCAAGGAUUUUUGUCUUCUGGAUAACC